CAGUAGCCACGGUAACACGUAGGGUGCAAGCGUUAAUCGGAAUUACUGGGCGUAAAGCGUGCGCAGGCGGUUUUGUAAGACAGAGGUGAAAUCCCCGGGCUCAACCUGGGAACUGCCUUUGUGACUGCAAGGCUGGAGCGCGGCAGAGGGGGAUGGAAUUCCGCGUGUAGCAGUGAAAUGCGUAGAUAUGCGGAGGAACACCGACGGCGAAGGCAAUCCCCUGGGCCUGCACUGACGCUCAUGCACGAAAGCGUGGGGAGCAAACAGGAUUAGAUACCCCAGUAGUCCCUGUCUCUUAUAC
rnacentral:rRNA from 1 species